AUCCAGAUGGUGAGUCCCAAAUAGGACGAAAUGUGCAUCCUGGAU
rnacentral:hammerhead_ribozyme from 1 species